UGAAAAGUCUCACUGGCAAAACACAAGAUCCCAAGAGUGCUGCUUGUAUAAAGUGCAUCAUUUUAUAUUUUACUGUAUAAAAUAUACAGUGAUCAACUAAAAGAGAAUAUAAAUCAACUUCAGGGUGAUAACAGUGACUCCACAGUCGGUUUUAUGCAUUACACAUUCAUGUUCACACUGUAAACAUUCUGUGCAGUGGUGUAUUUAUAGACGCUUCAUUUGUUCAUUGUUUCCCAGAAACGCAGCCUGAGCCCUAAAAGUGAAAGUAAAAGUACCAGAUAAAAAACAAGCUGUGGUUUUCAUUUUGUCCACCAACGAAUUCAGUCCAGAGCGUGUAACUCGGCUGAGAUCCCCCUUCAAAAUGACCCAAGCGAUAAUCAGAUUUUUUGUCAUGGUCCUUGGGAACACCAUGAAUUCCCACAAGACCUUCAUGGAGCGUCUGACAAUUUCACAAAAACUUCGUGAAGUGAAGUCGGUGAACAACAGUGAUGUCAUCAUUGCUUUUGUCCCAGUUGUGUCUCGAGCUGGAACUGACAUUGGAGCUGCAAUGGCCAAAAUUCCUCAGGGUAAGCCUGUCGUUUUUGUGGCGCUCCACCACACGUUUAAUCUAGAUGAAAUUGUUCCAGACAGCAGACUCUGUGUAAACACAGACAGAGUGUUUGCUGUAGAUUGUCUCUUUCAUGAAGACCAAGGUCUGCUGAAUUGCCUGCGCAAUGACGACGCGAUCAGAGCCGUGAAGAAGCACCUGAGAUGCGACGACCACAUUGAGGACGACUCCAGCUGUGCAAGCUGUGUUGGGCUCAAACUACGUAAAUCCGAUGCAGAAACUGGGGGGGCGAUCCACCCUCAAUUUCCAAGCCAUGGUGCGUCACACGCCCCUGCUGACUUCCGAAGUUACAACAACGUAAAUAUGAUGCAGAAACUGGGGGGGCGAUCCACCCUCAAUUUCCAAGGCAUGGUGCGUCACAGAUGUAUCAGGAUAUUGCUUGUUCUGGGCAUUUUCCUGGCGAUUGGUGUGGGUAUUGGUGUGGGUUUUGGUGUGGGAAUCGGUGCGGGUUUUGGAGUGGGUAUUGUUGUGUUUUGUGUUGUAGUCAUGCUUGUGAUUGUUACCUGGGUUAAAAGCUUUCAAAACCGUUUACCAUGAAUGCAGACUUCAAUACACUGGAACAGACAUAGUAUUAGCAUCACAUAAAUAAAUAAAUAAAUAAAUAAAUAAAUAAAUAAAUAAAUAAACAUUUAAUGGGUGUGUGAGUGUGUGUGAUUGUGCCCUGCGAUGGAUUGGCACCCUGUCCAGGGUGUACCCCGCCUUGUGCCCGAUGUUCCCUGGGAUAGGCUCCAGGUUCCCCGUGACCCUGAAGAAGGAGUAAGCGGUAGAAGAUGGAUGGAUGGAUGGAUGGAAAUAUAUAUUUAGAUAUUUAUAAUCAGAGAAACUUUCUUCUGGCAAGCUCUGUAGACAGGAUUACCAUCUUCUAUUAAGUUUCCCUCAGCAUUCAUAUAAAAUCCAAAAUAUGACCACACUUCGGAUUUGGUCCUCGUGGAAGGUCGGAUAUUCCCCCAAGCCCCGUCACUACCUUCCGCCAUGUUCUCUAACUGAACUAAAUGAUCACAGCAAGCCCAGUGACAACCGUCCAUCACUUUAUAAUCAAAUAUAAACCUGUUUAAAUGAUUUCAGUGUGUGUAUCAGUACUUUUUGUCCAUUUUUCAGCACAAUUUAACAACACCGUGAUAAUACUGAUAACCGUGAUAGUAUUGCUCGUGAUAAUCAUGAUAUGAAAUUUUCAUACUUUUAUAUCUCUACCGCCUUUUGUGCAGAAAUAAUUCCUUUUGUUGGUGUAUGAUGGACAAUUAAGUGGAAUAUGUUUUCUAACUCAUGAACGUGUGCAUAUCAAAUCUAUACUGCGCUUCCAUUUUAGUCCUGGCAUUAAUAAUUGUAAAAGACCUCGAUGUAAGAAAUGUCACAUGCAGCAGACAUUUUUACACACUGUAACAUCUGUCAGAGGGUUUCGAAGUCUGCUCGGAUGAAAGAUAAGAACAGAAGACAAGAAGGAAAACCCGAGGCAAAUGAACCGGUAGUCCCACGAGUCUUUAUAGAAUGGUUCACGCAAUAAUGUACACCAUAGAAGACGUCAUCUUAACGGGUCAUGAACAUUCAGUAUUUAACAUUAGGUGGCCGUUACAACUCAUGUUAAUACACAAAGAGAGUACUUUCGUCUUCUUUAUAUAUCUUAUAUACAUUGAGGAAUUCUAUUACGCCAUGCUUAAAGGGUCAGUCGAGGAUCAACGCUCUCUUGAGAAUCCAUUUAGAGAGACAGGAAGGCUGUUAAAUUCACUUUCACUUUCACUUUCACUCUGUCAGGCUCUCUGUUAAAGGGUCAUGAAACCUCCCUCUUUCUACACAGUAAUCACAAGGACAUUUUAAUCCAGAGUGACACUCAGUGAGGUCAGGAGAGGAAACAAAGCUGUUCUGUAAACACGUGGUGUAAAG
ensembl:lncRNA